GUGAGUAAACUCUGCUGCAAUCUCGCCGUCUCGGUGUUUGGCUUUCUGGGCGGCAGGCAAAAAUGAACGUGGUUCGGUAACAAUGAGUACCUAUUAGGAAUGUCUGUUUUUAGUGAGAAUGAACGGCUAUCCAUAGUUAAUUCUGGCUGUUGAUUUUAACAUUAAUCCUGGAAUUGUGCUGAACCGGAAAUGAGUGUGCGUGUCUGUAAGUGUGUACCUCAGCACACUUCAGUAUUUGAACCUUGCUUUCAGUCAGACCUUAUCGUUAGCAGGGAGAGAGAAGCCAGGCAGAAGAGCUGGCUUUAGGAACAGUUUUCAUGAUCUCAAGGAAGGUGGAACCUGAUAGUUUACACUAACAAGGUGACUCAGGAUGAGGACUGGCCACACCAGAAAGACAAACCAUCAUGUUGAGUGCUUCGUAAAGCUAACCUGAGAAUUCAAGAUGGAAAGCAUUCCUGGCAUAGUAAGACAUCAAGGUUACACUCCCUGCUCUUCAGCUUCCAGGAACCCAUCUCUCACAUCUGGCCACUCCUCGCUCCCAUCCAGUAUGAUCCCUUCACUCUGUGGAAAGAAUCACUGUUUGUUUUGAACCAGAUGUUCUCCCGCAGGGCUCUGCUUGAAGUCGGGUUCCUAUGGAUACGUCCUAACACCAGGAAGCACACAUUGGGUUGAGUUGACUCAUUCAGCCUGUAAUAGCCUCUCCUAUCUGACUGCAUCAUUUGUGUACACACUGUAUAAAUAUGUGCUUGAGGAGAAUUGGAGCAUCUGAUGAUUGCGAUCCCGUCACUAAAGGUGUGACUUUUUGCCUGUAAAAUCCAUUCUUAAAUGGGUUAUUGUGUUUGAAGUGAUUUAUUGCAAUCUUUAGAGAUAAAAUAUGAAUACUGUACGAGGGGUGUGGAAACCAAGGUGCAAAAUGGUAUGUUUUAUGUAGAGGAGUAAUCAGAAAAUAAUGAGCAUGCAUUCUAAGAAGGGUAAAGUCACUCCAGUGGAUUGAAAAGACUUCCUUUUAUUGCAAGUUGAACCAGUGCAGAGCUGGACUCAGGCAGUAAUAAAGUGGCGCUACAUUCCUUUGCAUCUGAUUUUAUGAGAGCUUUAUGUGUCAGUGUGACUUUCUUCUUUAUGUAUUCAUAUUUUAGUUUUAAUAUAUUUGCUUAGAGUUUGAUUUUUUUUUAAUGAGAUAAAGCUUCAGGGUGAAAAUGUAAAUGCUACUGUAUAGCGCCUGAGUUAUGAGUGGCAGGGGAGGAGUCAGGAAAGGAAGAAUGUAUUCGGAAGUGAAGAGCAGCUUGUGUUUCAUUUAAAAAGGAAAUGCUUUUUAUUUCCAUAUAUAGUGGCUUUUUUUCUGGGUGAUUUACCUAUACCUAACCUUUUCUAUUUAGUUCUUCGUCUUUCCCUUUAUACUUUCUAAGAGCUUGCCUAUAAUGUAUGUUGGAAAUAUUUUUCCUCAUUUGUGAUUCCUAUUUCAGUUUUGUUUGUGAUUUUUUUUUUUUGACAUCCAGAAAUUUAAAGUUUUCGUGUAGUAAAAUAUAUGAAUAUUUUCCUUUGGUGUUUCUGCCUUUAGUGUUCUUUAGUACCCUAAGAUUACAUAUACAGUUAUAUUUUUAUUCACUAAUAUCAUGGUUUCUUUUUUUUAUUAAGGUAAUAUUGGUUUAUAACACUACAUAAAUUUCAGGUGUACAUCAUUAUAUUUCAACUUCUGUGUAGACUACAUUGUGUUCACAAACCAAAAGUCUAGUUGCCAUCCAUCACCAUAAAUGUGCCGCAUUAUUCAUUUCGCCCUUCCCUCAUCUCCUUCCCCUCUGGUAACCGCCAAUCUGUUCUCUGUAUCCAUGUGUUUGUUUGUUGUUGUGACAUGAGUGAAAUAAAACAAUAUUUGGCUUUCUC
ensembl:lncRNA